rnacentral:misc_RNA from 1 species
GCAUUGCUUGACAUCAUGAGUUUGUGGUUCUGAUACAAUGAUCGUUCAUCUUUAGAGAUUGUGAAAAGGACAAUGCCACACCAAAAAGGAGGUGGACACCACAACACAACCUUUUUCUUCAAUAUUAUAAUUAUGGUACGCUCUCAAAUCAAUUUUUCUGAGGGGAAAAAAGAUCUUGCCCUGUAUGGGCAACAAAAAAGAAAAGCUUCAAAAAAGAGCUAUGCCUCAUACAGGUAAAGCCUAUGCCCUGCCUCAUGCAUGAACCUUCUCAUAGAUUAUGUUCAAUAAAAAUUAAUAUAAAAUUGGCAAGUCUCCUUUCUUUUGUAGAAAAUUGGCCCUUUUCCUCACCUUUUCUACUAGUUUUUCAUUUUUAAUUCAUAUUUUCUGUGUACUUUCUUUACAAAGUUCCAUCAAUGGAUAUAAAGCUUUU